rfam:Gossypium hirsutum cultivar TM-1 chromosome 24, whole genome shotgun sequence
AACCCAUGGUGAGGACACCGUCUUAAUAAGUCCUUAUACCUCUCUCAUGCAUCAUAUAGAGUUUCUAAGUCAAUCUAAAUGAAGGAAGAGAUAUCAUUCCUCAACUU